rnacentral:rRNA from 1 species
UACGUAGGGAGCGAGCGUUGUCCGGAAUUACUGGGCGUAAAGGGUGCGUAGGCGGCCAGGCAAGUCAGAUGUGAAAUCCCCGGGCUUAACUCGGGAGUUGCAUUUGAAACUGCUUGGCUUGAGUGCAGGAGAGGAAAGCGGAAUUCCUAGUGUAGCGGUGAAAUGCGUAGAUAUUAGGAGGAACACCAGUGGCGAAGGCGGCUUUCUGGACUGUAACUGACGCUGAGGCACGAAAGCGUGGGGAGCAAACAGG